GCCCUCGUCGAUCACGGUGAUCGCCCACAGCUCUUAUUUGAGGCCCGUAGGCGUUAACAGAGGUGGGAGGUGGGGGGUUCGACUCCCCCCGAGGGCA